rnacentral:rRNA from 1 species
AGUGAACGCUGGCGGUAGGCCUAACACAUGCAAGUCGAACGGCAGCACAGUAAGAGCUUGCUCUUACGGGUGGCGAGUGGCGGACGGGUGAGGAAUACAUCGGAAUCUACUUUUUCGUGGGGGAUAAUGUAGGGAAACUUACGCUAAUACCGCAUACGACCUACGGGUGAAAGCAGGGGAUCUUCGGACCUUGCGCGAUUGCAUGAGCCGAUGUCGGAUUAGCUAGUUGGCGGGGUAAAGGCCCACCAAGGCGACGAUCCGUAGCUGGUCUGAGAGGAUGAUCAGCCACACUGGAACUGAGACACGGUCCAGACUCCUACGGGAGGCAGCAGUGGGGAAUAUUGGACAAUGGGCGCAAGCCUGAUCCAGCCAUACCGCGUGGGUGAAGAAGGCCUUCGGGUUGUAAAGCCCUUUUGUUGGGAAAGAAAAGCAGCAGGUUAAUACCCCGCUGUUCUGACGGUACCCAAAGAAUAAGCACCGGCUAACUUCGUG